UGAGGAAUAUUGGUCAAUGGGCGAGAGCCUGAACCAGCCAAGUAGCGUGCAGGAUGACGGCCCUCUGGGUUGUAAACUGCUUUUAUGUGGGGAUAAAGUGCGUGACGUGUCAUGCAUUGCAGGUACCACAUGAAUAAGGACCGGCUAAUUCCGUGCCAGCAGCCGCGGUAAUACGGAAGGUUCGGGCGUUAUCCGGAUUUAUUGGGUUUAAAGGGAGCGUAGGCUGUCUAUUAAGCGUGUUGUGAAAUAUACCGGCUCAACCGGUAGCUUGCAGCGCGAACUGGUCGACUUGGGUAUGCAGGAAGUAGGCGGAAUUAAUGGUGUAGCGGUGAAAUGCUUAGAUAUCAUGACGAACUCAGAUUGCGCAGGCAGCUUACUGUAGCAUAACUGACGCUGAUGCUCGAAAGUGCGGGUAUCAAACAGG
rnacentral:rRNA from 1 species